rnacentral:rRNA from 1 species
CGCCUGUUUAUCAAAAACAUCUCUUCUCGUUAGUUUUUGAAGUAUGGCCUGCCCACUGACCUUGAAUGUUGAAGGGCCGCGGUAUUUUGACCGUGCAAAGGUAGCAUAGUCAUUAGUUCUUUAAUUGUGAUCUGGUAUGAAUGGCUUGACGAGGCAUAAGCUGUCUUAAUUUUGAAUUGUUUAUUGAAUUUGGUCUUUGAGUUAAAAUUCUUAGAUGUUUUUAUGGGACGAGAAGACCCUAUAGAGUUUAACAUUUAUUCACGGUCUCUUUCUGUUUGUGAGGGUUCACUAGGGCUGUUUAAUAUGUUUUGUUGGGGUGAUGGGAGGGAUAUUAUUUAACCCCUCCUUUGUGUUGUUAUAUUUAUUUAUAUUUGCUUGAUCCAUUUAUUUUGAUUGUAAGAUUAAAUUACCUUAGGGAUAACAGCGUAA